GAACGCACCUUGCGCUCCUUGGUAUUCCGAGGAGCAUGCCUGUUUGAGUGUCAUUAAAUUCUCAAUCCCCUUCAAUUUUGUAUUGUUGGGUGAUGGACUAUGGGAGCCUGCUGGCAUUGUUCAGCUCUCCUCAAAUGUAUUAGCAGGGUAAUAUGCCAUCUGUGCUUGGUAUGAUAUUUAUCUAUACCUCAUGUGCUCAUGUCUUACUUGCUUCAAACUGUUGCUUCAAGCAACACUUUUUGACCAUUUGACCUCAAAUCAGGUAGGACUACCCGCUGAACUUAAG
rnacentral:misc_RNA from 1 species